UACGUAGGGUGCAAGCGUUGUCCGGAAUUAUUGGGCGUAAAGAGCUCGUAGGCGGUCUGUCACGUCGGGCGUGAAAAUCCAGGGCUUAACCCUGGACCUGCGUUCGAUACGGGCAGACUAGAGUUCGGUAGGGGAGACUGGAAUUCCUGGUGUAGCGGUGAAAUGCGUAGAUAUCAAGAGGAACACCUGAGGUGAAGGCGGGUUGCUGGGCCGACACUGACGCUGAGGCGCGAAAGCUAGGGGAGCAAACGGG
rnacentral:rRNA from 1 species